rnacentral:lncRNA from 1 species
CUUGGUGGUUGGCUACUGAGGUACAAGCAAGAGACCUCAGAUUAGGAUGGUGGUAGCAGAUAUUGUGUAGAAAGGACAGAUGUUAGAGCCAUUUUUAGGGAACAUUGAAGAACUGGAAUAAUGGACAUGAAUGGAGAAGAUAGGCAUCCAUAUUGGACCAGCCCCUGUCCACAGUAUUGAAGAUAUCCUUAUGUGCAUAGACCUUGCUGGUUCAGUGGCAGUGGCUAGAUCAUGAGUGAGCAUCUCUUUUAGAGCAAGUCUACACAGAGGGAGUGGUUUGUAUGUCAAUAACUCUCCAGAUUGUGUUGCAAACACCAUCUUCAACUCAGCCAUUUUUCUCUUGGUUUUGAAAAAACCAGAGAAUAAGCAAGAGGAAGACAAAGAAAAUCACUUAGUGACACUGUCCAACAAUCCUGAGAGUGUUUCUGGUGUGCCUACUGGACACAAAAUUUAAAGCCUCUACGAAUUUUCAAAGAAAACAUCAAUGAUUAGGGGGAUAUAAGCAAAUGUUUUUAUGGUCCUUGAAGAAGUUUCACAUCAAACAUGUAACACAGCAAAUGAUCCUGAAAACAAACAAACAAAUUAAAAACAAACCUCACCUCAGACAUUGACAGUUUUUCAAGUCUUGUCUUGAACUUGCUGACCAUGGGACUUUUAUCUCUGAAAUUUUCCCUAUUAAAUGCAUCUAUCUCAACCUCUAAG